CGAUCUGGGCACUGUCUCGGAGAGAGGCUCGGUGAAAUAGACAUGUCUGUGAAGAUGCGGACUACCUGCACCUGGACAGAAAGACCCUAUGAAGCUUUACUGUUCCCUGGGAUUGGCUUUGGGCCUUUCCUGCGACGCUUAGGUGGAAGGCGAAGAAGGCCCCCUUCCGGGGGGGCCCGAGCCAUCAGUGAGAUACCACUCUGGAAGAGCUCGGAUUCUAACCUUGUGUCAGACCCGCGGGCCAAG
rnacentral:ncRNA from 1 species